GUGGCAGUGGCUCAGGAGGUAGAGCAGUUGACUGGGGAUUGGAAGGGCCCUAGUUCAAAUCUAGCUCCUCCU